UUAACUAUUAUAUAGUACUCAGACGACACUAACAUUCAGAGUUUUAAGAUUCUCUGGCAGUCAUCCAGGCGCGUUAACGCCUGACAUAUUCUGCCAAAGCAACAGAUGGUUAUAUUUACAAGGGUGGAGAUCUACCCAGAAGGGCAUGAACUCUGUAAUGAUCCUUCCGCAGGUUCACCUACGGAAA
rnacentral:misc_RNA from 1 species